GCCCACUGUUUGUGUGUUGAUUGUGAGAUCGAGGAUUGUGAUUGACUUUGUGCAAUUUCGUUGAUAGCGAGUUUGUGCUGGUGAUACUUGCAGUGCCGGGGUUACCGUGUAUACAUUCAGGUGUCAAACGCCCUGAACUGAAACACUCGCCAUUCCAACGAGUCUAGGCAGUUGAGAUUUCAGCCUAUGAACAGUGAACACCGUGGAGCGGGGACAUUUGUGAACCAACAAUUAUAUUGGAUCAACUGCAAUUUUGAUAUGACAUAAGUCCAUGCCAAGUGUUCAUGACAUUAUUAUGCCGUUCGUGAUUCUACAAGGCUUAUGUCUAUGGGAAAGAAAUACCAUGCUGGGGAAAAGCUAGAUUGUAGUUAUGAUGCUGCCACCUGCAAUGUUUUUGAUGGAGGGCGUGGCUGCACUGUGGGCGCAGCGGGAUGCUCAGGAUCUCCUGCAUGCCCAGGAUUUGGAGUCUGGAGCUGCUGGAACUCUCCAGAAUCAUUCGAGUCAUCUUCAUCCUCGGGACGAAGCAGUCUUCUUGAUUCAGAGGAUACACCGAGAUCUCAUCCACGUGAGUACCAUUCUUGUUUACUGCGCUCAGUUACUGCUAUUUGUGUGCAACCCGUUUCUCUUUUGGCUUCUUUUGACUUUGAAACCCUGGCUUUGAACCCGGCCCAAAUCAACGUGGCAUGUUUCAUCUGGGCUAGUUUGCGGCUCUGCUUUUCAGCACUGCGCUGGAUUUGGGAGAUUGUAACCGGCUAAACACCUUGUCACGUGCUGCGUGCGAACUGAAUGUAUGUAGGGGGCUUAUGAGGCGCGUUUUAGCGUUGGCGCUGAGCUUCUCGACACGUAUAUGUAAAUUGUAAAGCUUUUCGGCGGAGCUGCGCCUAUGCUGAACAGACGGCCCGGCCACCCAGGUGUGUUGAUGGAUCAAAAUACAUACGGAGUCUCGAGGUCGAAUUAGAAGUGUGCGCCCUUGCGGGCACACAAAAUGUGUUUUUGAUAAGUUGAGGUGGGAAAAUGUGUUUUUCAAGUUUACUUGACAUUUCAUUUUUCAGGCCAGGCCAGGCCAGUGAGCUGGUUAAAUGUGUUAUAAUUUUUAGUCCAGAUAUUUGCGAAAGCCGAAAUGAACCAAGGCAGUUGUUUCCUACCUAGCGGUCUUACCUUGCAUCCUUCGACCGAAGUCUUAUUUUGAAUUCAUUCACGGAUGGAUUGAUUUGUAAAGCCGCUUUGGAAGCUGAUACAGGUUAAACCGAUUUCUGCGCUAUUUUUUUCGUCUCUCCAGCUGGAACCAACGUCAAUGGCGGUCCAACCAGCGUUCAGUUAUAACAUCUGGGCAUUGUUUGGCUGGAUCAUGCAAAUUCAAACCAACGGGCUGCGCGCUGACAUGGUUUGCGUGAUGCCGAAUCCACAACUGUAAAAUGUCUGAGAGGAUCACAACACGACAAUGAAGCAUGUCUCAGAUAUCCGAUUAUUUUCCAGUUUUCUUUUGACACUGCCACACAUGCAAGCUGGCUGGAGGUGACUGGCAAUGGUCCUUUUUGUAUUUGAACUGAUCAAUUAAAUAGGCAGCUGCAUCGGUUAUCGUUUCGGUAUUUUUAUAAUACAUUUCCUUAAAAGCUCACUGAAAAACUGUCUUGUCCGGCAUACAUGCCAGCAAUGGCGGUCUGUCAUUGCUUGACAUCUUUUCUGAUAGUUGACAUGCUGCCGUCACAUAGUGAGCGAGAGGGGACCGUGGUCUGGGAGGGAGCGAGGGGUUGACGAAUCGCUGACAUGAGUGGCGCUCGAGGGGCUAAUGAGGUGCCAAAGCAAGGUUUCGCCCCCCCCCCCCUCGCCGCCGCCGCCGCCUUUUGCUUUGGUAUGCGACGUGGCGACGGAAGCAUGUCAGUCAGACGGGUUUUCUUCAGGCUUCUGACUUCCAUUCUUGAGGUGGGUGGGAAUGCUUUUGAAGGUGGUGUUUCCACAAUCGCCCUUCGCCCAUAUCUUCAGACGCGUCCUGAGUCCCUACUGCCUUGACGUCAAAUAAACCAAAAUAAAAUAAAAA